rnacentral:rRNA from 1 species
GACGAACGCUGGCGGCGUGCUUAACACAUGCAAGUCGAACGGAAAGGCCUGCUUUCCCUUGUGGAUUGCGGGUACUCGAGUGGCGAACGGGUGAGUAACACGUGAGUGAUCUGCCCCCAACUUGGGUAUAAGCCUGGGAAACUGGGUCUAAUUCCCGAUAGGACUGCAGGGUGGUGCCUGUGGUGGAAAACGAUUUUCUAGUGGCUGGGGAUGAGCUCGCGGCCUAUCUGCUUGUUGGUGGGGUAAUGGCCUACCAAGGCGGCGACGGGUAGCCGGACUGAGAGGGUGGACGGCCACAUUGGGACUGGGAUACGGCCCAGACGCCUACGGGAGGCAGCAGUGGGGAAUAUUGCAGAAUGGGCGGAAGCCUGAUGCAGCGACGCCGCGUGGGGGAUGACGGCCUUCGGGUUGUAAGCUCCUUUCGACCGCGAGGAAGCCACCUGGUUGGAAGGGUGGUGACGGUAGUGGUAGAAGAAGCACCGGCUAACUACGUG